rnacentral:rRNA from 1 species
GACGAACGCUGGCGGCGUGCUUAACACAUGCAAGUCGAACGGAAAGGCCCUGCUGUUGUGGGGUGCUCGAGUGGCGAACGGGUGAGUAACACGUGAGUAACCUGCCCUUGACUUUGGGAUAACUUCAGGAAACUGGGGCUAAUACCGGAUAGGAGCUCCUGCUGCAUGGUGGGGGUUGGAAAGUUUCGGCGGUUGGAGAUGGACUGGCGGCUUAUCAGCUUGUUGGUGGGGUAGUGGCUUACCAAGGCUUUGACGGGUAGCCGGCCUGAGAGGGUGGCCGGCCACCUUGGGACUGAGAUACGGACCAGACUCCUACGGGAGGCAGCAGUGGGGAAUAUUGCACAAUGGGCCGAAGCCUGAUGCAGCAACGCCGCGUUCGGGAUGACGGCCUUCGGGUUGUAAACCGCUUUCGCCUGUGACGAAGCGUGAGUGACGGUAAUGGGUAAAGAAGCACCGGCUAACUACGUG